ACUUAUAGGGUUGUCCGUGUAACCCAGCAGGACCCUAUGGCGUCCGCCCUCCCAGAACGGACCUCGCCCUCAUCCUCCACCUGCCUUUUGGCAGUGGAAAACUUUAGUAACAACAAAAUAAACUUAACCAGAGAAAUGAGAAAAUGCAGAGAGAAAGGGAAACAGUCAGGCAAGACAAAAUAAUAAUAGUUAAGUCAUCCGGCAAAGUCAGGGACAUUCAGCUCUUCCUCAAGGAUAAUAUUCUGAGCCAUGCCCUUGGAGCUCUUUUGCAGACUGAAACCCCGACCAGGUGGAAGAAGUUAAAGUCAAUGGCACGCUGCCCACAAGCAGGUAGACCCCAGACUGGCUGGAACCAGAAGGUUGAUGAUGUUGACGCCCAGUGACGUCACCGCCCACCAAUCAGAAGAAUGCCCAUGAGAUGACCACGCCCUGCUCCUUGAACACUGUUGACUCCUCACUACCCAGUGGACACGGUUUUGAGGGCACCAGCCUGCCCUCUGCCUGGCAAAGCAAUCAAGCUACUCUUUUCUACUUCUCACCCAAACUCCAAUCUCCUUGUUUCCAUUCGGCAUCAGUGCACAGAUGCCUAGUUUUGCCAGCAUCGAUCGGAAGGACCAGAAAGAUAAAAUGUUGCAGAACAGAAAAUAAAGGUUUGUCUUAUUGAAGGUUUAUAGGAACACUGCAACCGCCCCCUGGGACCUCCAUGGACACCUGCAAGGGCAAAGGAUUCCCACACCAAGAAGCUGGCAGCCACUAGCCACACCCCCUCCCCUUUUGGUAUAAGAGAAGCCUGAAUUCUAACCUGGGGAAGGAGAAGUGGCCAAACCAAGGAGAAAACUGGAACAGUGAGUGGCCAAAGCCUGGUGCCAUCUUCAUCCACAACAAGGUCUUGCCCCCUGGCAAGCUGUUCCCACUCACUUACCUCGCACCCCCGGCGCUCAGCUCUGGGCCGACCACUGCAACUCCAUGUUCAAGGUGUCGGAAAUGAAGACAACGCCGGCUCGGGUCGCCAGUGUCAGAAAGUGAGACACGUGGACAAGGAGACAUCUCGACAAGGCUCUUUACUUCUGCAGAAGGGCGCGGGCCCUCCAAAAAGUGCAGGUGCCCAACAAGGGACCCUCCCCUAUUGACCCCUAACGCAGGUGAUGGACCCGUCCCCUUCCCAUGGGUCAGGUCAGGGCGCACACUCUUCCCGGUUGGCUCACUGAAACCACUUGUUGCUGGGAAAAGGGGUCAAGGGGAAGGGGGUCGCAGAGGCGUUUCCACCAACACCGGAGUGACAUGGAGUCACCAAGGUUUCCUUUGGUAGAAAAGACAUGAGGUUAUUUCCACAACAGCCCCUUCUAACACCGCUGCAAAGCAAAGCCACCGGGAAAAAAUGUAAUUGUAAGGUAUACAUGUAAGGAUAAGCUGACCCCCUUGCUGUACAGUGGGAAAAUAAAAUUAAAAAAAUUAUAAAAAAAAAAAAGAAAAGAAAAGCCACCCACCCUGAGGCCGAAAUCACACAGCCCUCCUUCAAACUCACUGGGAGAAGGGGGUUAUUUGAAGACAAAAAGGGGUGUUUUUAUACGCACCCUCCAGGUUCAGAACAGAUUUCGAAUAAAGAGAAGCAAUGACUUUGUUAGAAGGCUGUUUGAUUUUAAGUGUAUACUUUGGCGAGCGGGAGCGGGGGGUAAAGUCCGUGGGGGAGCUUUUAAGGGGAGCUGAGACGCAAUUUGCCACUUCCCAUCCUCCGUCGAGGUGACCCCAAAGGAAAACUUAGGGUGUCAGCUUCUUGUCACCCUCCUCCCACAAGAAAUGGAUGCCAGGCCAGGCUGUGGGUAACGAGGGUGGGGAGGCCUCUGCCGAUGGCCCGAGAGGGGACCCUCCGUUCUGUCCAUAUUUCCUUCUCACAAAUACACAUGGACUCUCACUCUUGGCCAUGUAACUUGCUUGUAUGAAUUAAUUGUUUCAGCAGUAUAUUGAACAAAUUCCUGAACUCAAAUUUUAUCAGCAAAACACCCAAACCCCUGGGGAAGUCGCAGGCCUAGCACCAGCUCAUGGUAUGGCCACUGCUAAACCUCCAGGACUCCCAACCCCCACCUCCCCUCCCCUGGGACAGCAGGUGGUUGGCUGGCUGAGGGAAACCAGACUCUCCCCGUUAGUGCCAUGUGGCAGCCACCUGCGUGGAUGAGGCUGCCUCCUAGGUCACAGCUGAUGCUCUGAAGGAGAAUGGCCUUCACAUGCACCCACUGGCUGCCAGGCCCCUACUCUGUGCCAGGCAGUCUGUCCCGGUCAGAGGACAGGCUCUUCCGGAGCCCCAGAGGGUUCCCUUGGUCCCAAGGUAGAUUCCAAGAUUCUCUCCCACUUCGUGGAGGAAACGUGAGCAGCCAGCCAGGUCGCCCUCACAUGCUAGGACCAACAACCAGGGUGGGCCGGUUCCUGAUUUCCCCAACCUCAGGAAACCAGUCCCAUGCAAUAGCUGUGCCUGCCUGG